AAAUGAUACGUCAUUAUGGGAUGAUGACGUUUAUCGAGUGAAGGUUGUUGUGUGCUAUAUGGAUUGGUUGUCCUUCUUAACCAAGGAGUGUGGUGACACUGGUAUGAUAUACAGGUGAGAUAUAAGGGUACAUCAUCACUGAACAAGUGACUCAGCUACUGAGCGUUCUGCUGUCAAGAGCUGCUCGCAAAAUACAUGAGUAUAAAUAUCUUUCAGACCUA
rnacentral:lncRNA from 1 species